rnacentral:tRNA from 1 species
GCCUGGGUGGCUCAGUCGGUUAAGCGCCUGACUUCUGCUCAGGUCAUGAUCUCACAGCUCGUGAGUUCGAGCCCUGCGUCAGGCU